AUUGAACGCUGGCGGCAUGCCUUACACAUGCAAGUCGAACGGCAGCACGGGUGCUUGCACCUGGUGGCGAGUGGCGAACGGGUGAGUAAUGCAUCGGAACGUACCUUAUCGUGGGGGAUAACGCAGCGAAAGCUGUGCUAAUACCGCAUACGCCCUGAGGGGGAAAGCGGGGGAUCGAAAGACCUCGGGCGAUUAGGGCGGCCGAUGCCUGAUUAGCUUGUUGGUGGGGUAAAAGCCCACCAAGGCGACGAUCAGUAGCUGGUCUGAGAGGACGAUCAGCCACACUGGGACUGAGACACGGCCCAGACUCCUACGGGAGGCAGCAGUGGGGAAUUUUGGACAAUGGGGGCAACCCUGAACCAGCAAUGCCGCGUGAGUGAAGAAGGCCUUCGGGUUGUAAAGCUCUUUUGUCAGGGAAGAAACACCGGCUCUAACACAGUCCGGGAAUGACGGUACCUGAAGAAUAAGCACCGGCUAACUACGUGCCAGCCGCCGCCGUAA
rnacentral:rRNA from 1 species